rnacentral:ncRNA from 5 species
UACGAAGGGUGCAAGCGUUAAUCGGAAUUACUGGGCGUAAAGCGCGCGUAGGUGGUUCAGUAAGUUGGAAGUGAAAUCCCCGGGCUCAACCUGGGAACUGCUUUCAAAACUGCUGAGCUAGAGUACGGUAGAGGGUGGUGGAAUUUCCUGUGUAGCGGUGAAAUGCGUAGAUAUAGGAAGGAACACCAGUGGCGAAGGCGACCACCUGGACUGAUACUGACACUGAGGUGCGAAAGCGUGGGGAGCAAACAGG